rnacentral:rRNA from 1 species
GGAAUCUUAGACAAUGGGGGAAACCCUGAUCUAGCCAUGCCGCGUGGACGAUGAAGGCCUUAGGGUUGUAAAGUCCUUUCGCUGAGGAAGAUAAUGACGGUACUCAGUAAAGAAGCCCCGGCUAACUCCGUGCCAGCAGCCGCGGUAAUACGGCGGGGGCUAGCGUUGUUCGGAAUUACUGGGCGUAAAGCGCGCGUAGGCGGGCUGUUAAGUCGGGGGUGAAAUCCCGGGGCUCAACCCCGGAACUGCCUUCGAUACUGGCAGCCUGGAGUCCGAGAGAGGUGAGUGGAAUUCCGAGUGUAGAGGUGAAAUUCGUAGAUAUUCGGAGGAACACCAGUGGCGAAGGCGGCUCACUGGCUCGGUACUGACGCUGAGGUGCGAAAGCGUGGGGAGCAAAC